rnacentral:rRNA from 1 species
CUGAGGCGCGAAAGCGUGGGGAGCCAACAGGAUUAGAUACCCUGGUAGUCCACGCCGUAAACGAUGAGUGCUAAGUGUUAGAGGGUUUCCGCCCCUUAGUGCUGAAGUUAACGCAUUAAGCACUCCGCCUGGGGAGUACGGCCGCAAGGCUGAAACUCAAAGGAAUUGACGGGGGCCCGCACAAGCGGUGGAGCAUGUGGUUUAAUUCGAAGCAACGCGAAGAACCUUACCAGGUCUUGACAUCCUUUGACAACCCUAGAGAUAGGGCUUUUCCUUCGGGAGCAGAGUGACAGGUGGUGCAUGGUUGUCGUCAGCUCGUGUCGUGAGAUGUUGGGUUAAGUCCCGCAACGAGCGCAACCCUUGAUUUUAGUUGCCAUCCUUAAGUUGGGCACUUUAAGGUGACUGCCGGUGACAAACCGGAGGAAGGUGGGGAUGACGUCAAAUCAUCAUGCCCCUUAUGACCUGGGCUACCCACGUGCUACAAUGGACGGUACAAAGAGCUGCAAGACCGCGAGGUGGAGGUAAUUUCAUAAAACCGUUUUCAGUUCGGAUUGUAGGCUGCAACUUGCCUACCUGAAGCUGGAAUCGCUUGUAAUCGCGGAUCAGCAUGGCGCGGUGAAUACGUUCCCGGGCCUUGU